rnacentral:miRNA from 1 species
AGAUGUUUUGGGACUACAACUCCCAUCAUCCCUAGCUAACAGGACCGGUGGUCAGGGAAGAUGGGAAUUGUAGUCCCAAAACAUCU